GAUCUUGCUACACAGCCUGUUGUGACUUGUCCUGUAAUUUAGUUACGAGGAUUCAAAGUCAUGCUCCAGAGGCAGUUGAAAAGAAAGCAUCCAAAGUUCAUUCUGAACAUUAUACUUUUCUGAGCUUAUCUGUUGCCUCUCACUGGUUGUUAUAGAAAGUAGUUUGACCAUUACAAAGGUUAUGUAUGGAAAAGCCUAGUUCACCACGGCUGAGAUGGGCCCAGUUCUAUAAUGAGGAAGGUCUUAAACAUAGUGGUCUUUUACAUUGAAUGGUGCCUACAAACCACAUUUUCCUGAACUUCAUUGUAUUUGGGUUCACAGCAGAUCUUUUCAUUGGGCCUAUAGUUGUAAUGUGAAUCAGCCUAGCCUUACUACAGAUUUAUUAUGUUUUCAACUUGGUACAGGUAACCAAGACAUCAAUCAUGGUCAAUGACCUGUUUUUAAAGGGAAACAAUCAUAAAUAGAUACACUAUAUAUACAAAAGUAUGUGGACACCCCUUCAAAUUGCUGGAUUCAGCUAUUUCAGCCUCGCCCGUUGCUGACAGGUGUAUAAAAUUCAGUACACAGCCAUGCAAACUCCACAGACAGACAUUGGCAGUAGAAUGGCCUUACUGAAGAGCUCCGUGACAUUCAACAUGGCACCGUUAUAGGAUGCCACCUUUCCAAAAAGUCAAUUGGUCAAAUGUCUGCCCUGUUAGAGCUACCCUGGUCAACUGUAAGUGCUAUUAUUGUGAAGUAGAAACGUCUCAGCCGCAAAGUGGUAGGCCCAAAAAUAGUUUUUGUCUGUCCUCAUUUGCAACACUCACUACUAAACUGCCUCUGGAAGUAACGUCAGUGCAAUAACUGUUCGUUGGGAGCUUCAUGAAAUGGGUUUCCAUGGCUGAGCAGCGGCACACAAGCAUAAGAUCACCAUGCGCAAUGCCAAGCGUCACCUGGAUUGGUUCUAAAAGCUUGCUGUCAUUGGACGCGUUCUCUGGAGUGAUGAAUCACGCUUCACCAUAUGCCAGUCCGACGGACGACUUUGGGUUUGAGACCCGGGAGAGGCAAAGGUCGGGAGUCCUUGACCUGCCAAGCCGCGCUGCUUCUUAACACUGCUCACUUAACCCGGAAGCCAGCUGUACCAAUGUGUCGGAGGAAACACCAUCCAACUGACGACCAAAGUUAGCUUGCAGGCGCCCGGCCUGUCACAUGGAGUUGCUGGAGCACGAUGAGCCAAGGAAUCCCCCCUGCCAAACCCUCCCCUAAACCAGACGACGCUGGGCCAAUUGUUAGCCAUCUCUUGGGGGUCACGGCCGGCUGUGACACAGCCUGGGAUUGAACCUGAGGCUGUAGUGGUGCCUUAGACCACUACGCCACUCAGGAGGCCCCAGUGUGGAAGAACUUGACUGGCCUGCACGGAGCCCUGACCUCAACCCCAUCGGACACCUUUGGUAUGAAUUGAAAUGCCAAUUGUGAGCCAGGCCUAAUCGCCCAACAUCAGUGCCCGACCUCACUAAUGUUCUUGUGGCUGAAUGGAAGCAAGUCCCUGCAGCGAUGUUCCAACUUCUAGUUGAAAGGUUUCCCAGAAGAGUGGAGGCUGUUAUAGUAGCAAAGGCAGUACCAACUCUAUAUUAACGCCCAUGAUUUUGGAAUGAGCUGUUCAACGAGCAGGUGUCCACAUACUUUUGGUCCUGUAGUAUACAUUGGCUAAACAGCUGCCAUUAUAUGCCGUGCCUUGCAAAAGUAUUCAGACUCCUUGGAUUUCUUCAUUUUGUGUUACAAAAUCUUGCCAUAGAUUGUUAAGCAGAUUUAAGUCAAAACGGUAACAUGGCCACUCGGGAACACUCACUGUCUUCUUUAUAAGCAGAGCCGGUGUAGAUUUGGCCUUGUGUUGUAGGUUAUUGUCCUGCUGAGAGAUGAAAUCUUCACCCAGUCCCUGGUGUAAAGCAGGUCUUCAUCAAGGAUUUAGCCUGUGCUUAGCUUCAUCCCAUUUACUUUUUAUUCUGAAACUCUCCAGUAUUUGCCAAUGUCAGGCAUCCAAAUCAAAUUAUAUUUGUCACAUGCUACUUAAAAACAACCAGUGUAGACUAACAGUGAAAUGCUUUCUUACGGGCCCUUCCCAGCAAUGCAGUGAGAAAUAACAGAAAAGUUAAACACCCAAUAAUGAAUACACAAUGAGUCUUGACUAUAGACACAGGGCACCAGUACCGAGUCGAUGUGCAGGGGUACAAGGUAAUUGAGGUAGAUAAUGUGCAUAUAACUAGGAAUAAAGUGACAGAUCAUAAACAGUAGCAACAGCUUAUGUGAUGAGUGCAAAAACCGUAAAUGCAGAUACACUGAACAAAAAUAUAAAUGCAGCAUGUAAAGUGUUAGCCCCAUGUUUCAUGAGCUGAAAUCAGAGAUCCCAGAAAUAUUCCAAAUGCACACAGCUUAUUUCUCUCAAAUUUUGUGCACAAAUGUUUACAACCCUGUUAGUGAGCGUUUGCCAAGAUAAUCCAUUCACCUGACAGGUGUGGCAUAUUAAGAAGCUGAUUGUUACACAGGUGUACCUUGUGCUGGGGACAGAAGGCCACUCUAAAAUGUGCAGUUUUGUCACAGAUGUCUUCAAGUGUUGAGGGAGUGUGCAAUUGAUAUGCUGACUGCAGGAAUGUCCACCAGAGCUGUUGCCAGAGAAUUAAAUGUUAAUUUCUCUACCAUAAGCCACCUCCAAUGUCGUUUUAGAGAAUUUGACAGUACGUCCAACCGGCCUCACAAUCGCAAACCACAUGUAUGGUGUUGUGUGGGCAGGCAGUUGGCUGAUGUCAACGUUGUGAAUAGUGCCCCAUUGUGGCGAUGAGAUUAUGGUAUGGGCAGGCAUAAGCUACGGACAAUGAACACGAUUGCAUUUUAUCGAUGGCAAUUUGAAUGCACAGAGAUACCAUGACGAGAUCCUGAGUCCCAUUGUCAUGCCAUUCAUCCGCCACCAUCACCUCAUGUUUCGGUAUGAUAAUGCACAGCCCCAUGUCACAAGGAUCUGUGCACAAUUCCUGGAAGCUGAAAAUGUCCCAGUUCUUUCAUGGCCUGCAUACACACCAGACUUACUGUACCCUCUAGCGCCUUGGGGUUGGAUGUCAAGCGGUUUCCAUACCAAGUUGUGAUGCAGCCAGGCAAGAUGCUCUCAAUGGUGCAGCUGUAUAACAUUUUGAGGAUCUGAGGGCCCAUGCUUAAGCUUUUCCACCUCCCAAGAGGCAUUGUCAUGCCUUCUUCAUACCCAUACCAUGAUGCAGCCACCACUAUGCUUGAAAAUAAGGUGGGAGUUACAGUGAUGCGUUGGAUUUUCCCCAAACAUAAGACUGCAUUUAGGCCAAAAGGUGUAUUCCUUUUUGCAGUAUUACUUUAGUGCCUUGUUGCAUACAAGAUGCAUGUUUUGGAAUAUUAUUAUUUUUAUUUUGUAUAUUUAUUUUCACUCUCAUUUAGUUCAUUAUUGUGGAGUCACUACAAUGUUGUUGAUCCGUCCUCGGCUCUCUCCCGUCACAGCCAUUUAACUCUGUAGUUGUUAUGAGGACAUUGGUGAUUUUAAACAUCACUGAGCAGUUUCAUUCCUGUCCUGCUGCUCAGUUCAGAAGGAUGACUAUCUUUCAUGUGUCUGGGUGGUUUCAUACAUAAUCCACAGCAUAAUUAUUAACUGACCAUGCUUAAAGAAAUAUUCUGAUUUUGUUACCCAUGUACCAAUCACUGCCCUUUUGAGGCAUUCGAAGAGCUCCCUUGUCUUUGUAGUUGAUUUGAAAUCCAGUACUUGACUGAGGGAUCUUUACAAAUGUUAAAUGUCAUCAAGGACACUAACCACCUGGGCCCACUACCUGUUCACCCCGCUUCCAUCCAGAAGGCGAGGUCCGUAGAGGUGCAUCAAAGCUGGGACAGAGAGAUUGAAAAUCAGCUUCUAUCUCAAGGCCAUCAGAUUGUUAAACAGCCAUCAUUAGCACAGAGAGGCGGCUGCCUACCUGCAGACUUGAUAUCAUUGUCCAAUUUAAUAAAUGGAACACGAGUCACUUUAAUAAUGCCACUUUAAGAAUGUUUACAUAUCUCGCAUUACUUAUCUCAUGUAUAUACUGUAUUAUUCACUAUCUAUUGCAUCUUAACCGCUCUGUCACUGCUCAUCCAUAUAUUUUAUACUUAUAUAUUCUUAUCAAAUUCCUUUACUAGAUUGUGUGUAUUAGGUGUUGUUGUGGAAUCUGUUAGAUAUUACCUGUUAGAUACUGCUGCACUGUCGGAUCUAGACGCAUAAGCAUUUCGCUACACUGCUAACCAUGUGUAUGUGACCAAUAAAAUAUGAUUUGUUAGGGGGACCGAGGAAGGGUCAUUCAAAAAUCAUGUCAACCCCUAUUAUUUCACAGUGAGUCCAUGUAACUUAUAAUAUGAUUUGUUAAGCCAAAUUUGACUCUUGAAUUUAGGCUUGCUUAAACAAAUGGGCUCACUACUUAUGCAACGACUAUUUUACUUAUAUAAUUAAAAAAUAAAAAUAACAUUUAUUCUACUUUGACCGUUUUGUGUCGAUUGGUGAUACAAAUGACAAUGAAAUCCAUUUUAAUCCCACUUUGUAAGACAAUAAAUGUUGAACAAACCCAA